rnacentral:rRNA from 1 species
AUUGAACGCUGGCGGAAUGCUUUACACAUGCAAGUCGAACGGCAGCACGGGGGCAACCCUGGUGGCGAGUGGCGAACGGGUGAGUAAUACAUCGGAACGUGCCCAGUCGUGGGGGAUAACGUAGCGAAAGUUACGCUAAUACCGCAUACGAUCUACGGAUGCAAGCGGGGGACCGUAAGGCCUUGCGCGUCUGGAGCGGGCGAUGUCAGCUUAGGUAGUUGGUGAGGUAAAGGCUCACCCAGCCGACGCUCCGUAGCUGGUCUGAAAGGACGACCAGCCACACUGGGACUGAGACACGGCCCAGACUCCUACGGGAGGCAGCAGUGGGGAAUUUUGGACAAUGGGCGCAAGCCUGAUCCAGCCAUUCCGCGUGCAGGACGAAGGCCUUCGGGUUGUAAACUGCUUUUGUACGGAACGAAAAGGCUCUGGUUAAUACCUGGGGCUCAUGACGGUACCGUAAGAAUAAGCACCGGCUAACUACGUGCCAGCCGCCGCGGUAA